AGGGCAAAAUGAGACUUGCAAAAAGGAUUGCAAGUCCUUCCAUUACCAGUAGUACAAGGACGCGAUGGGAAUAGAGGAAGUAGUCCUUUUUAACUACUUUAUAUUGGAGAAAUUCUUUUACAUGGUUUCUGGAAUUAACAUCUGAUUACUCUGUCUAACUACUCUGGCUUUACGAGGACAAAGGAACAAAAGUCCAUUCUUGGCAGACAGAAGUGCUGAAAUGAAUUUCAAUCGCCGUAAAAAAUAUAAGGAAAUCUCAGCGGAUAGAAGGGAAGCAUUAUUGUUAAACUGCCGUACGAAAGAACUCGAUUCAAGAAAACGUCUUCUAGAAAGUCGUACUCUGGAUGACUCAGUCAAAUCAACAUCUCUAAGUAAUUCAACGCUUCAAAGGGAGAGUGCUCUCAUAAUAAGAGAUUUUUCUCUUACUUCAAAUCAAGGUUAGCAAAUUAAACUUUUGCUCUUUCUGUUUAAAUGCAGUCGGUUUAAACUAAAUAUGUUUCACGCGUCUUUAUUAGCUGCUAAAUGUGAAGUUAGUACUUUACCUGCUGCUUUUGCGAAAGGAAAAAGUUUAGUUGGUCAUUUUUCCAUCUUCGAAACAGGCGAGUAUAUGAAGCAUAUUAUUUUAAUAAAAUCUCUAUUGUCGUAAACCAUUUACUUAUGUAAUUCAUAAUUGCGUUUAUAUUAGGAUCCACAUCAGGUACAUCUAAUGACCGAUGUGGUGUUAGUUCAGAGAAUAUAGCAAAUAGAGGUUUGUAUCACUCUCAAGUUAUAAUAGUAUUCGUUAUCUUCCUUUGGAGUGAAAAUUGACUCCUAAUUGUUUCCGUAAUAUUCAAGAGUUAGA